UUUUUUUUUUUUUUUUUUUUUUUAUAGAGGGAGUCUCUCUCCCUGUCGCCCAGGCUGGAGUGCAGUGGCACUAAGGAAGGAGAGCACUACUACUCCUGCUGCCCUCCUCCCCCCACCUUGCCUAGUUCAAAGACAGGAGAAAAGAGAGAGAGAAACAAAAGUAAGAUAAAUAGCCAGACAACCUUGGCACCACCACCCAGUCCUAGGAGUUAAACAAAGUAAUAAUAAUAACAUCAAUGCCUGGCCUAAACUACUUGUGUUAUCUGUAAAUUCCAGACACUGUAUGAAAAAAAGCAUUGUAAAACUUUUUGUUAGCUGAUGCACGUAGCCCCCAGUCACGUUUCCCACGCUUGCUCGAUUUAUCACGACCCUUUCACGUGGACCCCUUAAAGUUGUAAGCCUUUAAAAAGGCCAAGUAUUUCUUUCUCGGGGAGCUCGGCUCUUAAGACGCGAGUCUGCCGAUGCUCCCGGCCGAAUAAAAAACCUCUUCCUUCUUUAAUCCGGUGUCUGAGUUGUUUUGUCUGCGGCUCGUCCUGCUACAGCAGGAUCUUGUCUCACUGUGAGCUCCGCCUCCAGGGUUCACACCAUUCUCCUGCCUCAGCCUCCCAAGUACCUGGGACUACAGGCGCCCGCCACCACGCCUGACUAAUUUUUUUUUUUCUUUGUGGUAUUUUUAAUAGAGACGGGGUUUCACCGUGUUAGCCAGGAUGGUCUCGACCUCCUGACCUCGUGAUCCGCCCGCUGCAGCCUCCCAGAGUGCUGGGAUUACAGGCGUGAGCCACCGCGCCGGAAUCAACCUCUUCUCUAAGGAGUCCUGGUUCAUUUUAGCAAAGAAUGGCAUUUAGUAACCAAGAUCUGGGGCUUUUAGUGUGGGAUAUCAUUGUUUCUAGGCUCACUCAGUGGACAGAGCUAGGAAAUAUGUGUGUGUGUAUGUUGUGUAUGUGUAUAUAUUUAUUUCUAUAUCUGUACACAUAAAAACCAUGAAUUCAUAUUGAUACCUCCAUUAGAAGACUUCAAAGAGAAAUGACAGAAUCUGAUUUUUUGUUUGUUUGUUUGUUUGUUUUUGAGAGGGAGUCUCACUCUGUUGCUCAGGCUGGAGUGCAGUGGCCCGAUCUCAGCUCUCUGC
rnacentral:lncRNA from 1 species